AGCAGCCGCGGUAAUUCCAGCUCCAAUAGCGUAUAUUAAAGUUGCUGCAGUUAAAAAGCUCGUAGUUGAAUUUCGGGACCAUCAUGUCGGUCGUGCUUCGGUACGUACUGGCAUCGUUGGUUUCUCCCUUCUGAAGAACCUUGAUGUCAUUAAUUUGGUGUCUUGGGGAAUCAGGACUGUUACUUUGAAAAAAUUAGAGUGUUUAAAGCAGGCUCGCGCUUGAAUACAUUAGCAUGGAAUAAUGAAAUAGGACGUUUUGAUUCUAUUUUGUUGGUUUCUAGGAUCGACGUAAUGAUUAAUAGGGAUAGUUGGGGGCAUUAGUAUUCAAUUGUCAGAGGUGAAAUUCUUGGAUUUAUUGAAGACUAACUACUGCGAAAGCAUUUGCCAAGGAUGUUUUCAUUAAUCAAGAACGAAAGUUAGGGGAUCGAAGACGAUCAGAUACUGUCGUAGUCUUAACCAUAAACUAUGCCGACUAGGGAUCGGAUGAUGUUAAUUUUUAAUGA
rnacentral:rRNA from 1 species